rnacentral:lncRNA from 1 species
UAAGGAGUAUGUACUUUCACAGAGCUCUCGAAAUAACGUAUGCUCGUACUUUAGCGAUAUUUAAAAGUCAUGUCCUCUCUUUUUCUUUUCUUUCUUUCUUUCUUUCUUUCUUUCUUUCUUUCUUUCUUUCUUUCUUUCUUUCUUUCUUUUAGUGGAUAAGAACUAUGCAGUAUUCAUGAACACCUUGAGCCUGAAAAUGAGGAACUCACCAUUCUGUGAUCAUGUGAAUUCAUCCAUAAAGCAUUAAGACAUUCAUGUGUGAGCCCUGAGACAGCCCUGAAAAUGAAUGCAGCUUCAUGAGACUAGCAGUAAAUUAACGGGAGAGGGAAUGCCAAAACUCAAAGAAAUCAAAGUGAAAAUAGGAACACGCCAUUUCAUAACUUUAAGAGCUGGAUGAUGGCCCAACACUCGAAGAGCAUCGAAGGAAGGAUCACAAGGGAGUCUGGUGCUGCGGUCGAGGAGCCUGGGUGAGCGUGGGUGGGUGGGGAGGAGCGAGAAGGGGCAGAGGGAAGGAAGAGGGGUGCCAGACUUUCUCCUUGGAACCAUCCACCAUGCUGCUCCCACCCAGAACAUCACAAGAUCAAGCCUCGGGACUCCAUGCAUCUAGCUUCACAUUCUUUCUCUCCUCAAGUGGGGACCAUGGCUGAAUACGUCAUUUCCCUUGCAGGACGUAAAAUGGGCUUGGAUUAGAGAAUUAGGCCCAACUUAACUCUGCCCCCAGACUUGUGUCUGCUCCUUCAAGACCUGGACAACUUCCAGACCACGAGAACAGAGUGUCUAACAGGAAUCCGGUAAUGCUGUUGUGGUCAUAGCUUAAUUGCUCUGAAGAGGUAACAGGAUCCAGGCAAUAUCAAAAGCAUGUGAGUGCCCUCUGAGCUCAGCACUGGUCCCCAGCUCUCCCUUUUGCUGUAUCCGUGCCCAGGAGCUUCACCAGCUGGAGACAGCAUUGGCAAGGAGAGCUUCCAAUAGGAUAUGAGCGCUGAUGCUUCUCAUCAAAACCCUGCGCCUGAGCCUGACGAUCGGAACCAUCAGAACGCAAGGAGGCAAAGGUCUGAUGGAUCAAAGGGGACCCACCGGUUUGAUGCUAACCUACUGGAGGAAGGGAGGUCGUCUCGUCCGCUCAGAGGGAGCCAUUAUGAUUCUCAUAUUAAAGUCAUGGAAACUGAGUCCCGGAGAGUUAAGGAACCUGCCCACGUCUACAGAGAUGAGGUUGAAACAGAACCCAAAGCAAGGGGGAAGUCACACGGAGGAGUGCAGCUGGGAGACCAUCGGCUAACACCUUGGUGAGCCUUUUUCUGUGUGCCCUCAGUGUUCUGAAAUCGUCCAUGCAUUUAACUCAGUCCACCCUCCCUUUCUAAAAGCUUUGUACUUUGUGAUAAAUCACUUCCAUGAAUACCAGUGGGAAGGAACAAAGGGGCCCUCAAACACACACCUACAGAAAUGUAGGUCCUUUUUUUUUUGGCCUCGCCUGUGCUAUGUGGAAGUUCCCAGGCCAGGGACCGAACCUGUGCCACAUCAGCGAUCCAAGCAGCUGCAAUGACAAUACCAGAUUCUUAACCCACAGUGCCACAAGAGAACUCUGGUGCAGUCUCCUUUGAAGGCAAUUUGGCAACAUCUAUUGAAAUUUAAAAUUCACAUUGUGUUUACACCCAGAAAUUCCACUUCUAAGUAUUAAACUGGACCAAGAAGUAUGUACAGAGAUAUUCAUGGUAGCAAGAUCCGUAAUAGCCAAGGAUUAGAAACAUCCUAAAUAUUUAUCAUUAGGAAUGCUAGGGGAAUGUUAAAAAAUAAAGCAAAUGGGGAGUUCCCA